ensembl:lncRNA
AUUAAACCAGAACUUUUCACAUUUUGUCAAGCAGAAAGUCUUUGUAAAAUUUAGUUUAAAAUCAUGGACCCCACGCAGAGAGUUGUGGGUCUGAAUCCUCAAACAAACAUGGUUUUCACUGUGGUCAAACCAGUUAUGGGCAUUUUACAAGUGUCGCCCCACGAAUCCACCGCCCUCCAGCCCAACACCCCGAUGACGCUGCAGCAGAACCCAACUCUGGUCCCCAAUAUGGCCGCUGAAGUCCAGCCGCAGAUCCACCUAAACCCAGACCCCUCAGAGACCCAAGAUCCAAGUCCAGAUCUGGGUCUAGAUGCGGAUCCUAACCAGGACUUUGGGGCAGGGGACUCGGGGCAGUGCAGCGUGGAGCAUCUGCCUUUCGCCGAAGUGUCGUCACUGCUGGAUCCAAAUAUGAAAGGAUCCAAAGCAAGGAAGUACCUGAUCUCGUAUGACGAGAUCCGGCGCCGUCUGCAGCCUCCAGAGAAAAUGUCUCUGCGCUCGAUCGCUGCAUACACCAGAGUGAGCAGAGGCCCGGCCAGUAAGAAAACUCUACAGGAGUCUCUGAGUGUCCUGGGACUGUCCCCAAGUACCACCACUGCUGUGUCCUCCUCCUUCUCCAAGCUCACAGAGGGAGACACCAGGGCUCUGUGUGAGGACAUGAGGGACUUUUCUCAGGAUUACAUCGAUUAUGAAAACAUCGCCAAACAACUGAUCCCCAAAGUCAACACAGUCCAGCACUGGUCCAAGAUCAUCGAGACCAAAAACCACUUGGAGGACAUGCGCCGCUGCUUCCAGGACCCAGUGAACAGCCAGGCAUUUGACAGCGCCACCCACGGGCUCGGUCUGGGAAUGAUGCACGUGGUCCUGGACAUGGUCUCAUCCGUGAUCCAGCACCAGGUCCGAAUCCUGUCCGGAUCCACCGGCACCAACGCAGAACUGUCCCACGAGACCUGUCCCUCCACGCCGAGACGCAACCGCAAACGACACCGCAAAUUUAACCACAACGACCCCAACCCGCACCAGAGAACCGUGAGGGAGGCCGUGAGGGAGGGGGCGGCCAUUUUGAAGGCCAAGAGCGGAGGGAGGGGCAGGAAGAAGGUGAGACAAGAUGGCGAGCAGACGGGUGAGACGGAGGCGGUCCCGGAGCAGCAGAUGGAGGAGGGGGAUAAUGUUCUUCUACUGACUGUGGGCUACGAGGCCGUGUCCAGUGAACUCGGCACGAACGAGAGCGUCAAUAAUGACCCAAUGCAGAGC